GAUGAACGCUGGCGGCGUGCCUAAUACAUGCAAGUCGAGCGAACGGACGAGAAGCUUGCUUUUCUGAUGUUAGCGGCGGACGGGUGAGUAACACGUGGAUAACCUACCUAUAAGACUGGGUUAACUUCGGGAAACCGGAGCUAAUACCGGAUAAUAUUUUGAACCGCACGGUUCAAAAGUGAAAGACGGUCUUGCUGUCACCUAUAGAUGGAUCCGCGCUGCAUUAGCUAGUUGGUAAGGUAACGGCUUACCAAGUCAACGAUGCAUAGCCGACCUGAGAGCGUGAUCGGCCACGCUAGAACUGAGACACGGUCCAGACUACUAAGGGGGGAAGCAGUAGGUAAUCUUCCGCAAUGGGCGAAAGCCUGACGGAGCAAAGCCGCGUGAGUGAUGAAGGUCUUCGGUUCGUAAAACUCUGUUAUUAGAGAAGAACAUAUGUGUAAGUAACUGUGCACAUCUUGACGGUACCUAAUCAGAAAGCCACGGCUAACUACGUG
rnacentral:rRNA from 1 species